rnacentral:rRNA from 1 species
AUUGAACGCUAGCGGGAUGCUUUACACAUGCAAGUCGAACGGCAGCGCGGACUUCGGUCGGGCUGCGAGUGGCGAACGGGUGAGUAAUGUAUCUGAACGUGCCCAGUAGCGGGGUAUAACUACUCGAAAGCGUAGCUAAUACCGCAUACGCCCUACGGGGGAAACAAGGGGAUCGUAGGACCUUGCACGAUGGGAGCGGCCGAUAUCGGAUUAGCUAGUUGGUUAGGUAACGGCUCACCAAGGCGACGAUCCGUAGCUGGUUUGAGAGGACGACCAGCCACACUGGGACUGAGACACGGCCCAGACUCCUACGGGAGGCAGCAGUGGGGAAUUUUGGGCAAUGGGGGCAACCCUGAUCCAGCCAUCCCGCGUGUGCGAUGAAGGCCUUCGGGUUGUAAAGCACUUUUGGCAGGAAAGAAACGUCGCGGGCUAAUACCCCGUGGAACUGACGGUACCUGCAGAAUAAGCACCGGCUAACUACGUG